rnacentral:lncRNA from 1 species
ACAACAACAAUAACUACCCAGUUAUCCCACCAGGUGGGGUAUGGGGAGGGUAAUAUGUAGACGAGCCUUACCCCGCCCGUAAGGGCAGAGAGGCUGUUUCCAAACGACCCUCGGCGUGUAGGAUAAAAAGAGGGAAAGCUGCAUUACGAGAACAAAGGUAAAAUUAGAAACACAAGCAAAACAAAACAAAAUAAUAAAGCAUAGGUACUCCUGCAGUAAUAAUGUAAGUACUUACGAAAACAUAAGCAACAUAAAUACAGUCGCAUGCAAUAAUGCAAUAAUAACAAACAGUAACUACCAUAUUAACAACCAUAUGGAGACAUAAGCUAAANNN